GAUUUUCCCAUUGAAAUGCUAUGAAUCUGUUCCAGCCCCACGGGACCCCACUCCCCCAUUUUUUGUAAUGCGUUUUUAAAUAAGAAAAUGUACUUUAUAAAUAACAAAUAAAGUAUAAAUACAAAUUCUCAUGGAUCAAUGAGAAAGAAAGAUCAACUUUAAAAUGGUAGAAGAACAAAGUUGUAACAAAGAAGCACAUUUGAGGCAACUGAAUGUGUCUUGGCCAGUGUAACAGCAAGGCAAAACCUGCACAUUCACAUGGAACAAUAAACAGAAAUAUCAACUUUAAAAUGGCAAGGAAGCACAAAGUACAAAGUGAAGAGGCAGAAGCAUCAUUUUCUUCAUACUGUACUCAUUCCAGCCUCCUUUGCUCUCUUGCUCUCCCCCCUGCCUUUUCUUCACGAAGCCAAACAUACUGAGAAUAAAAGUUACACAAAUCAAUUAACUCAAGUCUCUCAAAGUAAACAAGACCAAAGCAGACAGCAAUCUCCCAAAGUGGACAAGAGCAUGAGGCACGAAGGCACAGAGACAGGGGGCACGAGGCACUGAGGUUGUCCCCUUGAAGCCCUAAAACCCUGUACUUUCAUGCUAGUGCCCCCUCUGGCACUAGCACUUAACUUAAAACACUGCUUGUAUGUUAAAGUGAAAAUCAGGCUGAGCGAUGGCUCUUAACUCAAAAUACUCAAGUUGGGAUGCUCUUAAGUCAAGGUUCCAUUGUAUUUGAAUGAUCAGGAAGAUUUUCCUGGUCAAAUAAACAAUAGUAUUUAAUCCUUCCCCAACCAUCUGGUCUACCUCCUGACCCAAAAGCCACGUACAAAAUUCCAAUUCUCCUUCUGCACUUACAUAACUACUCUCAAACUCUCUUCCAGUUUCAUGAGGGUUGGAAAAACAAUUGAAUUGGGCUUUCUUUUCUUUUUUUGCCUCAGUGUAAAACUUGAGGAGAUGUUUAUAUUGUACUUCAGAUAAAGAGAGGAAAACUUAUCAGCAUUACUUCUUCCUAAGUUGAAUGUUUAAACUUCAUUUUUUCUAUCCCAAAUAUGCAGGAAACUGCAAAUUUAAUUUUCCACCAACAAAUGAAUGAAACUAUUUCCUAUUUACAGUAGCUAAAUUUAAUAAGCAUUACCCUUCUCAGAAAACGUCCUGUGCACUGGCCAUGCAGCAUUUAAAGAUGAGAAGUCUUUCAGGAAACAAAAAGUGCCAGCCCUAGUUCGACAUUAACACAACUGAAUGCAAAGGAAAAAAUGAAGC
rnacentral:lncRNA from 1 species